UUAAUUGUCAGAGGGGUAAUUCUUGCAUGCAUGAUGCGAGCAAUAUCCGCGAAAGCAUUUGCCAAGUAAGUGUCCAUUGAUCAAGAACGAAAGUUAGGGGAUCGAAGACAGCUCACCAGACGUCAAGUCUUAGUCCAGGACAGAUGAAACCAAGGGAUCAGACAAGGAUUUUUUGACUUGUUUGGCACCUUAUGAGAAAUCAAAAAUUACGGGUAUCGGGGGGAGUAUGGUGGCAAUUACCAAACUUAAAGGAAUCGACGGAAGGGCACCACCAGGAGUGGAGCAGGGAUUUUAAUUGGACUCAACACGGGGAAACUCACCAGGUCCAGACAUAGUAAGGAUUGACAGAUUGAGAGCUCUUUCGGGAUUGGGUAAUUGGUGGGCAUGGCCGUUCCUAGUUGGUGGAGUGAUUUGUUUGGUUAAUUCCGCCGGGAACGAGACCUAAUCCCGCUUAAUAGUUAGGCCACCGUGUGUGCGUCGUUCACUUCUUCGAGGGAUGAUAGGGCAUUAGUCAAUGGAAGUUUGAGGCAAUAACAGGUCCAUGAUGCCCUUAAAGGUUUUGGGAAUCACCAGACAAGCGGUGAUCAAGUUAACGAGUUUUCAACCAAAUACAUCCGGUCUGGGAGUCUUGAGAAAUAGCAUGGAGUAGGGGAUGAAUCAUCGCAAUUAUCCAAUUCAUCGAGGAUUAUCAAAUAAGCGAGAGUCAUCAGCUCGAGUCGAUUGCGUGCUCGCCCAUAGACACACC
rnacentral:rRNA from 1 species